UACGUAGGGGGCAAGCGUUGUCCGGAUUUAUUGGGCGUAAAGAGCGUGUAGGCGGCCUGGCAAGUCUGCUGUGAAAACUCGAGGCUCAACCUCGAGAUGUCGGCGGAAACUGUCUGGCUAGAGUCCGGAAGAGGAGAGUGGAAUUCCUGGUGUAGCGGUGAAAUGCGCAGAUAUCAGGAAGAACACCCGUGGCGAAAGCGGCUCUCUGGGACGGUACUGACGCUGAGACGCGAAAGCGUGGGGAGCGAACAGG
rnacentral:rRNA from 1 species